rnacentral:rRNA from 1 species
AUUGAACGCUGGCGGCAUGCUUUACACAUGCAAGUCGAACGGUAGAGGGGCAACCCUUGAGAGUGGCGAACGGGUGAGUAAUGCAUCGGAACGUGCCCAGUAGUGGGGGAUAGCCCGGCGAAAGCCGGAUUAAUACCGCAUGAGACCUGAGGGUGAAAGCGGGGGAUCGCAAGACCUCGCGCUAUUGGAGCGGCCGAUGUCAGAUUAGCUAGUUGGUGGGGUAAAGGCCUACCAAGGCGACGAUCUGUAGCUGGUCUGAGAGGACGACCAGCCACACUGGGACUGAGACGCGGCCCAGACUCCUACGGGAGGCAGCAGUGGGGAAUUUUGGACAAUGGGCGCAAGCCUGAUCCAGCCAUGCCGCGUGCGGGAAGAAGGCCUUCGGGUUGUAAACCGCUUUUGUCAGGGAAGAAAUCUUCUGGGCUAAUACCCUGGGAGGAUGACGGUACCUGAGGAAUAAGCACCGGCUAACUACGUGCCAGCAGCCGCCGUAAGAC